UACGUAGGGUGCAAGCGUUGUCCGGAAUUAUUGGGCGUAAAGAGCUCGUAGGCGGCUUGUCACGUCGGCUGUGAAAACCUGGGGCUCAACCCCGGGCCUGCAGACGAUACGGGCUAGCUAGAAUUCGGUAGGGGAGACUGGAAUUCCUGGUGUAGCGGUGAAAUGCGCAGAUAUCAGGAGGAACACCGAUGGCGAAGGCAGGUCUCUGGGCCGAUAUUGACGCUGAGGAGCGAAAGCGUGGGGAGCGAACAGG
rnacentral:rRNA from 1 species